rnacentral:rRNA from 1 species
AACGAACGCUGGCGGCAUGCCUAACACAUGCAAGUCGAACGAAGGCUUCGGCCUUUGUGGCGCACGGGUGCGUCACGCGAGGGAAUCUGCACUUUGGUUCGGCAUAACUGUUGGAAUCGGCCGCUAAUACCGGAUGAUGGCGAAAGUCCAAAGAUUUAUCGCAAGAGGAUGAGCCCGCGUUGGAUUAGGUGGUUGGUGGGGUAAAGGACUACUAAGCCGACGAUGCAUAGCUGGUCAGAGAGGAUGGUCAGCCACACUGGGAGGAGGACACGGCCCGGACUCCUACGCGAGGCAGGAGAGGGGAAUAGUGGACAAUGGGCUCAGGGCUGAUCCAGCUAGGCCGGGUGAGCGAUGUAGGCCGUAGGGAUGUAAAGCGCUAUUACCCGUGAAGAUAAUGACGGUACCGGGUGAAUAAGCCCCGGCUAACUACGUG